ACGGCUCAGUAACACGUGGAUAACCUGCCCUUGGGUCCGGCAUAACCCCGGGAAACUGGGGAUAAUUCCGGAUAACGCACAUAUGCUGGAAUGCUUUAUGCGUGAAAUGGAUUCGUCUGCCCAAGGAUGGGUCUGCGGCCUAUCAGGUAGUAGUGGGUGUAAUGUACCUACUAGCCUACGACGGGUACGGGUUGUGAGAGCAAGAGCCCGGAGAUGGAUUCUGAGACAUGAAUCCAGGCCCUACGGGGCGCAGCAGGCGCGAAAACUUUACAAUGCGGGAAACCGUGAUAAGGGGACACCGAGUGCCAGCAUCCUAUGCUGGCUGUCCAGGUGUGUAAACUACACCUGUUAGCAAGGGCCGGGCAAGACCGGUGCCAGCCGCCGCGGUAACACCGGCGGCCCGAGUGGUGAUCGUGAUUAUUGGGUCUAAAGGGUCCGUAGCCGGUUUGGUCAGUCCUCCGGGAAAUCUGACAGCUUAACUGUUAGGCUUUCGGAGGAUACUGCCAGACUUGGAACCGGGAGAGGUAAGAGGUACUACAGGGGUAGGAGUGAAAUCUUGUAAUCCCUGUGGGACCACCUGUGGCGAAGGCGUCUUACCAGAACGGGUUCGACGGUGAGGGACGAAAGCUGGGGGCACGAACCGGAUUAGAUACCCGGGUAGUCCCAGCCGUAAACGAUGCUCGCUAGGUGUCAGGCAUGGCGCGACCGUGUCUGGUGCCGCAGGGAAGCCGUGAAGCGAGCCACCUGGGAAGUACGGCCGCAAGGCUGAAACUUAAAGGAAUUGGCGGGGGAGCAC
rnacentral:rRNA from 1 species